GAUGAACGCUGGCGGCGUGCCUAAUACAUGCAAGUCGAACGAAGCACCUUACCUGAUUCUUCGGAUGAAAGUUUGGUGACUGAGUGGCGGACGGGUGAGUAACGCGUGGGUAACCUGCGCUGAACAGGGGGAUAACAGCCGGAAACGGCUGCUAAUACCGCAUAAGCGCACGAGGAGACAUCUCCUUGUGUGACAAAAUCCGGUGGUACAGGAUGGGCCCGCGUCUGAUUAGCUGGUUGGCAGGGUAACGGCCUACCAAGGCAACGAUCAGUAGCCGGUCAGAGAGACUGGACCGCCACAUUGGAACGGGGACACGGUCCAGACUCCUACGGGAUGCAACAGUGUGGAAUAGUGCACAAUGGCGGGAACCCUGAUGCAGCAACGCCGCGAGAGUGAAGAAGUAUUGCGGUAUGUAAAGCUCUAUCAGCAGGGAAGAUAAUGACGGUACCUGACCAGGAAGCUCCGGCUAAAUACGUG
rnacentral:rRNA from 1 species